AAAUCCUCCAAGAUUUGACUUCCCGCGGAAACCAGUAGCAGAGCGGGUGGAGGAGGCGAGGAUGCGGCUGGUACACACCGAGUUUCCUUGGCAAGGAAAAUCGAUGGUAGGAAAGGCUGUGGGGAUUUAACUGGGGUUGAGGGUGGAGGCUCGCAAAACCACCACCGGUGCGUGGCAUUGCCAGUGCGUGCGCUUGGACCUCGCACCUCGGGAUAGUGCUCCUGACCUGCUGAGUCCGCGACGCGCCACCUCUCCUUCCGAAGUUUUAGGCCGCCUCACAGCGAGCUGCAAGAGCGGGCCGGCCGUGGCGGGCUCCUUGAACCCAAGUCCUGUCUGUCCGCUAAGUCCUGGGAGGAGAAUUUUGGCCUCACCAGAGGAAGGAGCACAAGGGGAGCGAGCGGUCCGAGAGGAAAUAGUUGGUGAAAUAUUUACAGAAGACGCUGGGAAACCGAUUUAAUUCCUGGUGGACAGUGGUGCUUCUGAUUCCCUCAGUCUGUGUCUCUCACCUACGACGCUCUCAAUCCUUGGCCUAGAAAAAAAAUCCGUAAACUUACUUCAUUAUA
rnacentral:lncRNA from 1 species